CGCCUGUUUUUCAAAAACAUGUCUUUUUGAUAAUUAUUUAAGGUUUGGCCUGCUCAAUGAGUGUUUAAAUAGCCGCAGUAUUUUGACUGUGCAAAGGUAGCAUAAUCAUUAGUUUUUUAAUUGAAAGCUGGAAUGAAGGGUCGGAUGAGAAAGCUUCUGUCUCACUUUAAUUUUAAUUGAAUUUUAUUUUUAAGUUAAAAAGCUUAGAUUUUAUAAAAAGACGAGAAGACCCUAUAGAGUUUAAUAGAUUUAAAUAUAGAUUAUUUUAGGGUUUUAUAUUAGUUUAUUUUUAAUUUAUUUUGUUGGGGUGAUAUAAGAAUUGAGUUAACUUCUUUAUAUUUAAACACUGAUUUGUGAUAAAUGGAUCCUUAAAUUGGGAUUAAAAGAAUAAAUUACCUUAGGGAUAACAGCGUAAUUCUUUUGGAGAGUUCUAAUCGAUAAAAGGGAUUGCGACCUCGAUGUUGGAUUAAAGUUUAAUUUUGGUGUAGAAGCUAGGAUUUUG
rnacentral:rRNA from 1 species